rnacentral:tRNA from 1 species
GGUCUAGCUCAGUGGUAGAGUGUCUGCCUAACUUGCAUGAGGCCCUGGGUUCAAUCCCCAGUACCA